rnacentral:rRNA from 1 species
CAGGCCUAACACAUGCAAGUCGGACGGUAGCACAGUAGGAGCUUGCUCCUUGGGUGACGAGUGGCGGACGGGUGAGUAAUGUCUGGGGAUCUGCCCGAUAGAGGGGGAUAACCACUGGAAACGGUGGCUAAUACCGCAUAACGUCGCAAGACCAAAGAGGGGGACCUUCGGGCCUCUCACUAUCGGAUGAACCCAGAUGGGAUUAGCUAGUAGGCGGGGUAAUGGCCCACCUAGGCGACGAUCCCUAGCUGGUCUGAGAGGAUGACCAGCCACACUGGAACUGAGACACGGUCCAGACUCCUACGGGAGGCAGCAGUGGGGAAUAUUGCACGAUGGGCGCAAGCCUGAUGCAGCCAUGCCGCGUGUAUGAAGAAGGCCUUCGGGUUGUAAAGUACUUUCAGCGGGGAGGAAGGCGAUGCGGUUAAUAACCGCGUCGAUUGACGUUACCCGCAGAAGAAGCACCGGCUAACUCCGUGCCAGCAGCCGCGGUAAU